rnacentral:rRNA from 1 species
UACGGAGGGUGCAAGCGUUAUCCGGAUUCACUGGGUUUAAAGGGUGCGUAGGCGGGCAGGUAAGUCCGUGGUGAAAUCUCCAAGCUUAACUCCGAAACUGCAUUCGAUUCUGCCGUGCUUGAGGACUGGAGAGGAGACUGGAAUUUACGGUGUAGCGGUGAAAUGCGUAGAUAUCGGGAGGAACACCAAUGGCGAAGGCAGCUCGCUGGGACGUGACUGACGCUGAGACGCGAAAGCGUGGGGAGCAAACAGG